ACCUCGCCUGCGUUAGGGAUUGCAGCGGCAUCCUUUUAUAGGUGGCUGAGGUACUCGAAGCCCCGAUAAAAGAUACAGCGGAAAGCCCGACCGGCU
rnacentral:sRNA from 1 species